rfam:Lyngbya majuscula 3L genomic scaffold scf52111, whole genome shotgun sequence.
AGGAGCCGUGUGAUGUGAAAAUGUCACGCACGGUUCUGAAGACGAGUCAGUGGGGUGAUUCACUGGCUUAGUUUAAU